CUAAUUCAUAAUAGUAGAUGUCAUCACUCCCAAAUAAAAAUGAGUGACGGAUGAAUAGAUUUCAUCAGUUAUUCCUGGCAGUUGGAGUUCUCUUGAAAAGGGGAACCCAGGGGUAAAACUGACAUGAUUCAGUAAUCACUCAAGAAAAUCAUACUUUGACAGAAGAGGAAGCUACUAUACAAUCAAAAAAAUGAGCAAGCAUACGAAUUUCAGAUGCCACAGGACGGGUGGUCAUGAUGCGGAAGAGCUGAAGAACUUCUGGGAAAAGGUCAUCCAAGAGCAAACUAAGCAACAAGAAGCUGAAGUGUCUAGGCUAAGCAAAAGUGCCCUGAACAAACUUCGCCAGGAAUGGACUCUGCGGCUGGAAGGUCGAGUAAGGCAGGUCCAGGCACACAUGAAAACACGGGAAGAACAAAUGACGCCACUCUCUAUCGAGGCUCUUCCCUCACCAGAUAAAACUGUUGCUUAAAGUUACUGUGCAGACACAGCAAGCCCUGGGCCCAAUUCUGACCUUCAGCAUGUGCCUGUAAACCAGCAGCUGAACAACCAAAAGAUCAGAUUCUGCCCAUUUUCCAAACUAUUUACUAGAGCUACUAUUAAAGUACUAUUAAAAUUCAGUGCAAGAAUAAUGCCACAGGGGAAAAAUAAGCACAAAGGGAUAGAUGAGAAGCAGACAACUCUAAUUUUUCAUGAUAUAUUAUUACUGUGAUGUACCAGGAUUCUCUUAUGUAACUGCAUUUCAAAGUGACAACAACUCACAGCUAGGAAAGAGGGUGGCUUGCUUAAUAGGAAUAAUACAUUCAGACAGCUGCAUGCAAAAUUGCACAUUUCCAUUUACACAGCUCACAGAGUCUGGCUUAAUGCAAACGUAAGAUGUACUGUCUGUCUUGAUGAGCCACAGCAGAGGGAGAUAAGGAUUAGCCUGAUCAGCCUGAUUAGCUGGCCAGGAGGAGAAACAAAUUCUUUAAUGGAAUGAGGGGGAAAAAAAAAAAAAGAACUUUUCUGAUCAAUAUAUAAGAACAUUUGCAGAUCUUAAUAAUUAAAUCAACAGUAAAUUUUGCUUUGACUUUCUUGGGCUAUGUAAGAAAAAGGCUACUGAGUCAGUAGUCUUUAUUAUGAGCAAGUCUGACAAACAUUAGAGUAGUAAGAGCAAAUCAGCGUGAGAGUUUGAAGUAGGAGGCAGUGAAUCAUAACAGCACAGAUAUGCUUUGCAAAGUAUCACUUGCCAUACCUGACAUGCACUAAUCCAAAUAAUUCCUGCAUCUUCUCUUGGGUUAGGUGAAACAAAACACAGAGUAAUAGCAGUGUUCCCUAUUUACCUAUAUUCCUGUGUAUCUAAAUACUAAUCUUUUGGAUUAAAGCACUUAUUUGUUUUCUCUUCAAAUAAUAUUUGAUACACAAGAGAAGACUCAUAAGUCUAAGGAGCUGUUUUUCUCUUACUAAAAACAGAAAUUUACUUUGAAUCUAUAUUUAUACUAAAGAAGUAGAUAGGAAUACAUUUGAUAUAUUUCAAAACAGAAGAAAAAUUAAACCAUUUUGACCUCACAGAAAUGCUUUUUUUAUCCUUUCAAAACAAUAUUUAAUUAAAACACAAAGUUUUACUGAAUGUUCUCACUUUUACAAAGUGAAAAUCUGACACAGAAAAAAAUAAGCUGUCACAAAAACGUUGUUAUUCCACAAAGGAUUAAAACAAAUAAAAACUUAUAAAAUGUUGUUCUGUUAUUGAAA
rnacentral:lncRNA from 1 species